rnacentral:rRNA from 1 species
GACGAACGCUGGCGGCGUGCCUAAUACAUGCAAGUAGAACGCUGAAGGAGGAGCUUGCUUCUCCGGAUGAGUUGCGAACGGGUGAGUAACGCGUAGGUAACCUGCCUGGUAGCGGGGGAUAACUAUUGGAAACGAUAGCUAAUACCGCAUAAGAGUAGAUGUCGCAUGACAUUUGCUUAAAAGGUGCAACUGCACCACUACCAGAUGGACCUGCGUUGUAUUAGCUAGUUGGUGAGGUAACGGCUCACCAAGGCAACGAUACAUAGCCGACCUGAGAGGGUGAUCGGCCACACUGGGACUGAGACACGGCCCAGACUCCUACGGGAGGCAGCAGUAGGGAAUCUUCGGCAAUGGACGGAAGUCUGACCGAGCAACGCCGCGUGAGUGAAGAAGGGUUUCGGAUCGUAAAGCUCGGUUGUAAGAGAAGAACGAGUGUGAGAGUGGAAAGUUCACACUGUGACGGUAUCUUACCAGAAAGGGACGGCUAACUACGUG